rnacentral:tRNA from 1 species
GCGCCUAUAGCUCAAUCGGAUAGAGCGUCACGCUUCGGACGUGAAGGUUGCGGGUUCGAGUCCUGCUAGGCGCU